AUUUUUUUAGGAGCCACUGUACUCUUUUUCCACCAUGACUAUACCACCGUAGAGUCCACCAGCAAUGCACAGGAGUUCUGAUUUGGCUACAUCCUCACCAAAAUGUAUAUUUCCUGUUUUUUUUGAUAAUUGCCAUCUUAAUGGAGUCAAGCCCUCUGGAGAAGGCAAAAAUAAAGCAUGAGAAGGGAGAAGAGCAUGAAGGUUGGCUGUAUGGUUACGACAAAAAGCAAACAAACAACAACAAAAAUAAUAAAUCAUAUUGCCUGCAAGUGAGUCUACCAGGAAUUUUUGCUGCAUUUACAAUAUUUUUAGGAAGGAAAAAAAUAAGUACAGUACUAUGAUUUUUAUUUUACAGAUAGAAAACCU
rnacentral:lncRNA from 10 species